rnacentral:misc_RNA from 1 species
GGAAAUAGCCAUGAUUGUAGUCGGCAUGAAAUCCAGAGUUCUUAAGACGAUCAGCAGUAUCUCUAAGCUUUUCAGCUUCUGCCAAGAUAAUAGAAGCAGUCUGACUGGAGGACUCUCUUUUUGAGGGGGUAGGAGCACUGGGUUCCUGCACUGCACAAUGAUCAGACUCCAACCGGCCCAUACUGUUGUGACUUGCGUUUUGACACACACCAAUGCCAGGAUCUUUUAGUAUCGUUGACACUCUGGCACUUACAGAAGAAUUCACC